CCUACGGGCGGCAGCAGUGGGGAAUAUUGGACAAUGGGCGAAAGCCUGAUCCAGCCAUGCCGCGUGUGUGAAGAAGGCCUUCGGGUUGUAAAGCACUUUCAGUGGGGAAGAAAGCCUUGGGGCUAAUACCCUCGAGGAAGGACAUCACCCACAGAAGAAGCACCGGCUAACUCCGUGCCAGCAGCCGCGGUAAUACGGAGGGUGCGAGCGUUAAUCGGGAUUACUGGGCGUAAAGCGCGCGUAGGCGGUCUGAUAAGCCGGUUGUGAAAGCCCCGGGCUCAACCUGGGAACGGCAUCCGGAACUGUCAGGCUAGAGUGCAGGAGAGGAAGGUAGAAUUCCCGGUGUAGCGGUGAAAUGCGUAGAGAUCGGGAGGAAUACCAGUGGCGAAGGCGGCCUUCUGGACUGACACUGACGCUGAGGUGCGAAAGCGUGGGAAGCAAACAGGAUUAGAUACCCGUGAGUC
rnacentral:rRNA from 1 species